rnacentral:tRNA from 13 species
AGAGUUUAUCUGGCCGAGUGGUGAAAGCGUCCGCUUUGGAAGCGGAAGGUCGCGAGUUCUAAUCCGAAGUUUCUU